rnacentral:rRNA from 1 species
UGCCCGGUGCUCGAAGGUUAAUUGAUGGGGUUAGCAUUAGCGAAGCUCUUGAUCGAAGCCCGAGUAAACGGCGGCCGUAACUAUAACGGUCCUAAGGUAGCGAAAUUCCUUUUCGGUUAAAAACCGACCUGCAUGAAUGGCGUAACGAGAUGGGAGCUGUCUCAAAGAGGGAUCCAGUGAAAUUGUAGUGGAGGUGAAAAUUCCUCCUACCCGCGGCAAGACG